AACUUACCCCAAUUAAAGUAUCCCAAAAACCCUGUUUUAACCCAAAUGUAAUUCAAAAAGGAAUGUAAAGUAUCCAUCACAAGUACUGCAACAUAAUUCAACAGAAAGGGAACAUGAUUUUGAAAACAUGUAAACAUUUCUUAGCAUAAUUCAACAAAGUAAUGAAUUGCAGCAACAUAUACUUGAUAUUUUGAAAAUGACAAAAUUAUCUUAUUUAGUGAAUCAACAAAAAUG
rnacentral:misc_RNA from 1 species